rnacentral:rRNA from 1 species
UACGUAGGGGGCAAGCGUUGUCCGGAUUUAUUGGGCGUAAAGAGCGUGUAGGCGGCUAGAUAGGUCCGUUGUGAAAACUCGAGGCUCAACCUCGAGACGUCGAUGGAAACCAUCUGGCUAGAGUCCGGAAGAGGAGUGUGGAAUUCCUGGUGUAGCGGUGAAAUGCGCAGAUAUCAGGAAGAACACCUAUGGCGAAGGCAGCACUCUGGGACGGUACUGACGCUGAGACGCGAAAGCGUGGGGAGCGAACAGG